rnacentral:rRNA from 1 species
UAAGGAAUAUUGGACAAUGGAGGCAACUCUGAUCCAGCCAUGCCGCGUGAAGGAAUAAGGCCCUAUGGGUUGUAAACUUCUUUUAGACGGGACAAAACCCCUUUACGUGUAAAGGGUUGAUGGUACUGUCAGAAUAAGCAUCGGCUAACUUCGUGCCAGCAGCCGCGGUAAUACGAAGGAUGCAAGCGUUAUCCGGAAUUAUUGGGUUUAAAGGGUGCGUAGGCGGACUAAUAAGUCAGUGGUGAAAGCCUGCAGCUUAACUGCAGAAUUGCCAUUGAUACUGUUAGUCUGGAGUACAGUUGAGGUCGGCGGAAUGUGGCAUGUAGCGGUGAAAUGCUUAGAUAUGACACAGAACACCGAUUGCGAAGGCAGCUUGCUAAGCUGUAACUGACGCUGAGGCACGAAAGCGUGGGGA